rnacentral:rRNA from 1 species
CUCGUAGGCGGUUCAACAAGUCGGUCGUGAAAGCCCGGGGCUCAACCCCGGGAUGCCGGUCGAAACUGUUGUGACUCGAGUUCGGUAGAGGUGAGUGGAAUUCUCGGUGUAGCGGUGGAAUGCGCAGAUAUCGAGAGGAACACCCGUAGCGAAGGCGGCUCACUGGGCCGAUACUGACGCUGAGGAGCGAAAGCGUGGGGAGCAAACA